rnacentral:rRNA from 1 species
AGUGAACGCUGGCGGUAGGCCUAACACAUGCAAGUCGAACGGCAGCACAGUAAGAGCUUGCUCUUACGGGUGGCGAGUGGCGGACGGGUGAGGAAUACAUCGGAAUCUACUUUUUCGUGGGGGAUAGGGAAGGAAAGGUUAACUCAUAACGCAUACUACCUACGGGUGGAAGGCGGGGGACCUUGGACCGUUGGCGGAUGGAUGAGCCGAUGUUGGGUUUGCUAGUUGGCGGGGUAAAGGCCCAACCAGGCGAGGAUUCGUGGCUGGUCUGAGAGGAUGAUCAGCCACACUGGAACUGAGACACGGUCCAGACUCCUACGGGAGGCAGCAGAGGGGAAUAUUGGACAAUGGUGGCAAGCAUGAUCCAGCGAUACCGCGUGGGUGAAGAAGGCCUUCGGUUUGUAAAGCCCUUUUGUUGGGAAAGAAAAGCAGCAGGUUAAUACGCCGCUGUUCUGACGGUACCCAAAGAAGAAGCACCGGCUAACUUCGUG